GGGGAUGUAGCUCAGAAGUAGAGCAUGCACUUACCAUGUAUAAGCCCUGGGUUCAAUCCCUGAUACCCA
rnacentral:tRNA from 1 species